ensembl:lncRNA
GCUAGGAGGAGUUGGCCGUCCGACUGCGGUCUGGAGUGUGGGGCCUCCCUGCUGCUGCGGAGUCGGGGCGGUAUGCCUCUCCCCACCGCAGGGAAAAGGGUAACACCACCUGGGUCUGGGUGCAGUUCCCCCCUCCAGGGGCAAGGGUACCUAGACCCGGUUCGUAGAGUACGCUUGGGGAGUGUGAUCGUGUGUACAGCGUCUCUUUAUGUCUGUCUCCACGUUGGUUGAGUGUGGAGUAAGUGCAUAUGAGAGCAUGAGGGUGGGAAUGGAUGUUUGUGUCUGUGUGUGCCUGUAUGUCUGUGUCUAUAUGUCAGGUUGGGUGUCAGUCACUGCAACUCCCCCUGGCUUCUGCUCCGCGGCUGCUGAGUGAGCCCUCAUCUGGGACUCUCCUCAGCUCUUACUGAGACAGUGGCACGGCUGCCCCUCUGUUGGUCUUCCUUGGUCUCUUGUGUUCUGGGGGCCUCUGGAUGUCUGGAGUUUUGAUCUCCUCCAUACCUGCUUCAUGCCCUGGAGGACGGGGCUGUGGCUCCCCACACUCCCUAGCAGAUCGUUACAUGGAGAAACCUUUGGAAUGCAAGCAUGCUGAUCCACACAGGUAUGCACACAGGUGUACACACGGGUAUUCACAGACGCGGACUACAGCUUUCUUGGCUGCUGCCUCAAAGCACAUUGUACGCUGUCUAUCUUGCGUGCUGCACAAUAUCGUUUAUUACUUAGUAUCUACUGAUAUCUACUGCUAGCUAGUUUAUUGUGAUGGUGCCGUUUUUUUUAUUAUGUUGCUCUUUGUUGUUUGCUUUCUCUUCUGUUUUUUUUUCUCCAUACAGGUGACCCAGGUGUUUUUUUUUUUGUUUGUUUGUUUUUUUCUUUCUUCCCCCCCUUCUCACCGUCUCUUCUCCCCUUUGGUUUUCUUUCUCUCCCUCUCUUUCUUUCAUUCUUUCUCCCUGUCCUAUCCCCCAGUCAUGUCUCAACUGAAAAUAAAAUAAAUUCAUAAUUAUAAUAAAGGUCAAUCAAAUGGACCAAGGCCAUGAUGAUCCACUUGGUAAAAUAAAUCCGCUUGGCAUCUUUCUUGGCCUUAAGACAACAAUUCUGAUGGCUAAAGAUCAAAACGGGACACAAAAAAAAUAAAAUAAAAUAAAAUAAAAUAAAACACUUUAUUAACAAACGAUGAUUAAAAUGACCAGACUCCCUACCACGAUGCUACCCUAAAACAAUCACAGCAUGACAAAAGAAUAACCAACAACAAAAGAGGGAAACAGUUGUCAAAGUCCACCCUACUAUAUGCCACGUUAUGAUGAACACUAGAGUCCCACUUACCACUCUCUAAAGGGCAAUACUAAACUGAGUAGCUUUCCUUGAGAGAUCUGCAGCGCUUAGCUGCCUAAUGCUCUCAGCCACCUUGGAUGGACAAGACUGCCAAAUGCCUGCCUCUGGUAGUGAAGCCCAGCUGUUUCUUAUAAGCCUGCUAAUUAUCGGCUGGGAAGGUAUGGAUGUCAGUGGUGCGUUUGUGGACAUCAUGUAAAAUCCUACCCCAGAAUCUACUUCACUACAUUAUAUUACUCUUUCUCUGUAUAAAACAAAGUUGAAUUAUAAUUAUUGAUGGUGAAAUCUUAGAUGACAAUAUUUUGUGACACAGCAGCAAGCAAAUGUGUCACUAAGCUGGAAUAUUUUCUAUCACAUGCGAGCAUAUAUUUGCCUGUAUCCAUGUAGACCUUUGGGACUGUUCAUUUUCAUCUUACCAUUUUUAAAAAAAAAUUUCUUCUGAUAGAUAUUGAAAAAUAGAAAAUAAAAUAGGCUUUAAUGGGUAAUAGCAAAU